rnacentral:rRNA from 1 species
CCUACGGGAGGCUGCAGUGGGGAAUAUUGGACAAUGGGGGCAACCCUGAUCCAGCCAUGCCGCGUGUGUGAAGAAGGCCCUCGGGUUGUAAAGCACUUUCAGUGAGGAAGAACGCCUGGUGGUUAAUACCCAUCAGGAAAGACAUCACUCACAGAAGAAGCACCGGCUAACUCCGUGCCAGCAGCCGCGGUAAUACGGAGGGUGCGAGCGUUAAUCGGAAUUACUGGGCGUAAAGCGCGCGUAGGUGGCUUGAUAAGCCGGUUGUGAAAGCCCCGGGCUCAACCUGGGAACGGCCUCCGGAACUGUCAAGCUAGAGGGCAGGAGAGGAAGGUAGAAUUCCCGGUGUAGCGGUGAAAUGCGUAGAGAUCGGGAGGAAUACCAGUGGCGAAGGCGGCCUUCUGGACUGACACUGACACUGAGGUGCGAAAGCGUGGGGAGCAAACAGGAGUAGAUACCCCCAGUAGUC